CCCUUAGAUGUUCUGGGCCGCACGCGCGCUACACUGAUGAACGCAACGAGACCACCUGUACCGAAAGGCAUGGGUAAACUUGUGAAAGUUCAUCGUGAUGGGGAUAGAUUAUUGCAAUUAUUAAUCUUCAACGAGGAAUUCCUAGUAAGCGCGAGUCAUCAGCUCGCGUUGAUUACGUCCCUGCCCUUUGUACACACCGCCCGUCGCUCCUACCGAUUGAAUGGUCCGGUGAAAUCUUCGGAUUGCUGGAUAAGACUUCAUUGACCUAUCUGCGAGAAGUUGCUUGAACCUUAUCAUUUAGAGGAAGGAGAAGUCGUAACA
rnacentral:rRNA from 1 species